rnacentral:tRNA from 1 species
GGGAAUGUGGCUCAGUGGUAGAGUGCUUGCCUAACAUGCAUGAAGCCCUGAGUUUGAUUCUUCAGUACCA